CCUACGGGGAGCAGCAGUGAGGAAUAUUGGUCAAUGGACGGAAGGCUGAACCAGCCAUGCCGCGUGAAGGAUGAAGGUUUUCGGAGUGUAAAACUCUUUUGGUAGAGAAGAAAAUGACGGUAUCUAACGAAUAAGAACCGGAUAACUCCGUGCCAGCAGCCGCGGUAAUACGGCGGGUGCAAGCGUUACUCGGAAUAACUGGGCGUAAAGGGCGCGUAGGCGGGAUAGCAAGUCAGAUGUGAAAUCCCAGGGCUUAACCAUAGAACUGCAUUUGAAACUGUUAUUCUAGAGUAUGGGAGAGGUAGGUGGAAUGCUUGGUGUAGGGGUGAAAUCCGUAGAGAUCAAGAGGAAUACUCAUUGCGAAGGCGACCUGCUAGAACAUAACUGACGCUGAUGCGCGAAAGCGUGGGGAGCAAACAGGAUUAGAUACCCUAGUAGUC
rnacentral:rRNA from 1 species